UUUCUUCUUGCUCAGCUAAUGUGAAACACAUUAUACCAUUGUACACUGGAUGAUCUGUUGCUUAUUCCUGUGGAAAAAUAUUAAGAAUGUAUCAGAACAGCUUGGGACAGUGUGAAUCUUGGAGUCUGAUGUCGAGGAGAUGGAGGUAUUAAUUCUUUUUCUGAAUUUGUCAGUCUCCAUGAGUGUGGGAGUUGAAAAUUACACAAGAGGGAUAAGACACCCAAUGGUGUUUGGCUCAAUGAAGUCCCUCAAAUGCACUCGGAGAAAAGAAAAGGCUACAUCAUAGGAAAUGGAUAAGUGAUUGGUUGCAACAUUCAUGGUGGAUAAAGGUGUCUGGCAGAUGUGAUGUACUUGGAUUCCCCUAAAAAUUAUUUGAUAAGAUGCCACAUCAAAGAUUGUUGCAUAAGGCUGGAGCGGUGUUGGCUGGGCAGUGGUUGCAGUGUCGGUGGCAUGAACUGGGAUUCUUGUGGUGGUGGUGGUGUCUGGAGCCUGGACACCUGUUGGCAGUAGGCCUGGAGCUUGGACUCCUGGUGGUGGUAAACCCGGAGCCUGGUCUUUUGGCGGCAGCAGUGCCCAGAGUGGGUACCCCAGGCAGCGGCAGAGCCUGGAUUCUUGGUGGUUGCAGUGGCUGGAGUGGGGACUCUUGGGAGACUGGUGUUGUUGCUGCUGUUCCAUGAGCAGGACUCCUUGAGAACUGGAACACCUUGCAGAAGCACUGAAGCUGUGCCUGAAACCCCAAUUUGAACUAAAGAUGAAUUCUUAUUUCUUACUUAAAUGGUGCUGGAUUGUGGUGACAAAACAAUUUUUACUGUAACUUUAAGACAUA